UCAUGGUUACCAACCGCUGCGGCUUACGCGGAUUAACUUCUGAGCGCCGAGGCCGGUCCCGUUACUUGGGUUCGCGCUGUUUGCUCACGCGAAUCACGUCACACGCGCUGAUGCAUCAGGAAGUGGCUGGAGCCCGUACCCAGUGGCAGAUGUUUCCAUCCCGGAGCUGAGGGGACAACUCUGGAGGCAGAACAUCCCAGUAAGGGAGUGACCCAGAAGGCAACGUCUCCAUCCAGCCAAGGCCUUCGCUCGUGCCUCGCACCGAAAGCGUGGCUGCAGACAGCCAUGCGUUCAGAGAGGAGGCCCCUCCGGUGGGCACGGCGCGGGACGCGGCUCGGGCUUCCUGGAGCAGGCGUGCAGAGCGGGCCUCUUCUUUCCCGGUUCCGGUCCCGGCCAGAAUGCCCUCGGGAGCACAGAGCAGCGGGAGCUCUCGGCAUUUAUUUAAAGAAGCCGGAAGGUUAAAACCACCCAGUGGUCCGCAGAGCGGAAGGACAGGCCCUUUCAAGCCGCCUAGCCCCGUGCGACCCGGGCCGUGUGGGUCUUCUAGUUCGUCGGCACACACACUCGUGCCUCCCGACUCCAGGCUACACGGCAGCGUGCUGGGCAGUGAGGCAAAACCGGGAGCCAGCAGCCCGUGGGGCCGGCUCUGUGCUCACAUCCCUCACACCCUCCGCAUACAGCUGGCGCCUCUCCCCACCGCAGGAGGCGGGCGUUGUCAUUAUCCCUCGCUUGCGGACGGGGAAACUGAAGCGUGGGGGACGGCGAGGCCCGGCAGCGUACGGGGCAGAGCUGGGGUUUGGAGCCAGGUUGUGCGGCCCCAGCGUCCAAGCUCGAGGCUGUCCGAGCUCACUUGCCUCUGCGAGACCUCGCUCCUGGGCUCUGCUCCAGACUGGCCUCCCCAGAGCCCUCUGCUCCUGCCGACAAGCAGGUUAGAAACGGACCCCGACCUCCGCCGUGGGAAGGGCCACCCCACACUCAUCACACUCAGAGCCCUGAGGUCCGACGGGUGAGGGGCUUCGUCUGCGGCCCCCCCGGCCAUGGCUCCCUGCGUCACUCCCGGCUGUGUCCCCAGAAAGCCCCCCGGAGCCACACGGAGGCAUCGCCACACACGUGCGGAAUCGGAAUCACCAAGUUGCAACAGUCCAUCCCUCAAGCGCAGCCCGGCGGGGAAGCUCUUAGCUCUUUGGUCUCUGGACGCGGGAGACUGAGAGACGAAAACCGCCAACAGGUAGGUGCCCCCCAAGGCCGUGCCGCUGCCCGUGGCCUCCCCGAGAAGGCUUUGCUCCCAGAGACCCACUGACUCUGGCCCCAAACUGCCUGAGUGGGAAGCAAGGUGGUGGAGGGGUACUGGGGCACAGCAGGGCCUGCUCCCACACGCCGGCUUCGCCCGGACAGGCUCCGAGGUGCAGGGGAAGUGUGUCCGGUGGGAGUGUCGAGUGCAGAGGUGCCCCUGGGCCGCCGUUUGCCGGCCUGGUAUCGACAGUACCUGCAGUCUGGUCCAGUGUUUUAGGAUUUGCUCUCUGACUCGCACAGCAAACCCUGCCCGUCUCUCACAGUCAUAGGAAGGUCCACGUGCCUGCCCGGCGAGAGGGAGCAGAAGCCCAAGCGGAGGGCACUGAUCUGGGGGGAGUUUGGAGCUAAGCAUACCCUUCCUCCAGCCACUGGAGUUGGGGGGGCUUCCUGGGGGGCCUUGAAGGCCACCUGUACUGAGGCAGGGGCUGCCCAAGAGCCCGCAUCCUGUCCAGGAAGAGCAACCCCCUCCCACCCCAGAGCAGCCUGCAGCCAACUGUGAACUAGAAUCAGGGGCUAAAUACCUCCUUGCCCAGUGGAUGGGGUGACUCCAAGGCAUGUUCUAGAAUCUCUGAAGGCCCCCGGUGUUGCUGAAUCCAGUGCCCUCAGCAGUCACCCCCUCAUGAAUGCACGUCUGUUGCCCCUGUCCCUUCCUUGCCUCACUUCCCCACUUCCCUACCAGUGCUUCCUGGGGCCAUGCCCAAUCCUUGCCUCAGGCUCUGCUUCUGGGGAACCCAAGUUCAGACACAUAUCUUAUGAUUGAAGGGAUGUUGGGACAGUUCUGUCUUCCCUACAAUAUCUGCUGUCAUAGGCCUAUCUCUUACUACUGAAUUACGUCACUAGAGAUUCAUGCCUGUGGGAUUUCAAGAUCGGGGUCUGGUCAUUUGCUCCGGCAAUCCCCCUUCUGGGUACACCCAAAAGAAAUGAAAGCAGGGUCUCAAAGAGAUUUUCGCACCGCCCACGUUCGUAGCGGCGUUAUUCGCAAUAGCCAAAAGGUAGAAGAAACCAGCAUCCAUUGACAGAUGAGUGGAUAAGCAACAUGUGGCCUUCCCAUGCAACGGAAUAUCAUUUAGCCUUAAAGAGGAAGGGA